GACAGAAUGGAGUAACUGGACAAGUUGCAAUGUCUCUUCUGGAUUGAUAAGCAGAACAAGAAAGUGUAAUAUUUCAGAUUCAGCCUUUUCAUGUCAAGGCUUGGCAAGAGAGGAGGGAAAAUGUUUUGCAUUAUGGUCUCAAUGGAACAAUUGGACGUGUUGUAAUGAAUCCUAUAAAUUUAUGAGCAGAUCAAGAAAUUGCAAUGUUUCAAAUACAAUGAAUCAAUGUAAUGGAAACAGUUCUGAAAUAAUUAAGUGCUUUGCAUUUUGGGGAUCGUGGAGCAGUUGGUCUCAUUGUAAUGACUUUUUGGGAUAUAGGAAUAGAACAAGAGAGUGUAUUAUUUCAAAAAAUACAGAAUGGUGUUGUGGU
rnacentral:lncRNA from 1 species